UGGCGAACGGGUGAGUAACACGUGGGCAAUCUGCCCUGCACUCUGGGACAAGCCCUGGAAACGGGGUCUAAUACCGGAUACUGAUCCUCGCAGGCAUCUGUGAGGUUCGAAAGCUCCGGCGGUGCAGGAUGAGCCCGCGGCCUAUCAGCUUGUUGGUGAGGUAAUGGCUCACCAAGGCGACGACGGGUAGCCGGCCUGAGAGGGCGACCGGCCACACUGGGACUGAGACACGGCCCAGACUCCUACGGGAGGCAGCAGUGGGGAAUAUUGCACAAUGGGCGAAAGCCUGAUGCAGCGACGCCGCGUGAGGGAUGACGGCCUUCGGGUUGUAAACCUCUUUCAGCAGGGAAGAAGCGAAAGUGACGGUACCUGCAGAAGAAGCGCCGGCUAACUACGUGCCAGCAGCCGCGGUAAUACGUAGGGCGCGAGCGUUGUCCGGAAUUAUUGGGCGUAAAGAGCUCGUAGGCGGCUUGUCACGUCGGUUGUGAAAGCCCGGGGCUUAACCCCGGGUCUGCAGUCGAUACGGGCAGGCUAGAGUUCGGUAGGGG
rnacentral:rRNA from 1 species